rnacentral:lncRNA from 1 species
UCGAUAGAGCCUGGCUGCACCCACUCCUCGCCGAUGGGUGCUCUGUAGUUCGCCACUCGACCGUCCGAGUCCCUGCGGAUCCGGGAUUAAGAAUCGGUCCGACGUAUGCCCUGCAUCAGGUAUGAGUCUUCUGAAAGGAUCCCAAUCCCAAGGCGUUGUACCAUGCCGAAGGGAUGGAUGGCGGAGGGAUAGAAGCCGUCACGGUUCCAACCCGAGAGUGGCCUUGCUCGGGCUGACUGAGUUCAUCCAGAGGCUGAGGGAAGUUUACUUUCCUAGGGAAUCAUCAAACCUCGGGGAGUUGAUCCGAGCGAUAUUCGGCCGUGGCAAGGUGCCAGGAGCCCGGCCAUUGCACGGCGUCGGUCGAUAACGUCUCCACAGUGGCCCACCAGUCAGGCACUGACAGUGGGCUGCAUCGGUGAUCGAACCGGGAGAGAUUC